rnacentral:rRNA from 1 species
UCUUGAUUUAAAAAUAUAAUACCAGAGUACUACGGAUAGUAUUAAAUUUGUACUAGUGAAUUUAAAACUCAAAGAGCUUGGCGGUAUUUUAGACCAUCCAGGGGAACCUGUCUCUUAAUCGAUAAUCCACGCAGUACCUUACUUUUUUUCAAAGUUUGUAUACCGUCGUCGGCAGGUAACUUUUUAGAAAAUAAUAGUUAGCGGUGUAAAGGUUUUGCUUUUUACGUCAGAUCAAGGUGCAGCUUAUAGAAGAGUGAAGAUGGGUUACAAUUAAUAUUUUUAAUUACGAAGAUAAUAUAGAAUUUUGUUAUUAAAGGUGGACUUGGAAGUAAAAUUAAUAAAUAUUUUAGAAAGAAAUUUUGAAUUAUAUGGCUCUGAAAUGUGCACACAUCGCCCGUCGCUCUCGUUGAAAAAUGAGAUAAGUCGUAACAUAGUAGAGGUAACGGAAGUUGUUUCUUGAUGACA